rnacentral:lncRNA from 1 species
CCGGACACUCAGAUGCAAAGCCCUAGCAACAACCCUGAAAUCAACUUCCUUCGGGACGUCCAAGAAAGGAAUCUGAUGCUGAAUCGGGACACCCAACAGAAUGGAGUACUCCUCGAGAGUAGGCGCCAACUGAUAGUCCUGGAAAGUGAAACAUCUAAGCUCUGGGUCAUAGAACUGAAGAAGCGUCUGUAACGGCACCGGGUCAACUACC